rnacentral:ncRNA from 1 species
GAUCAAGUGUCUUAAGGGCAAUUGGUGGAUGCCUUGGCAUGUCUCAGGCGAUGAAGGACGUGAUACGCUGCGAAAAGCUACGGGGAGGUGCGAAUACCCUUUGAUCCGUAGAUAUCCGAAUGGGGAAACCCACCUUAGAUACUUGGGAAAUCAAGUGCGCUGCGCGCAAGCGAAGCGUUCUUGGUUUCCAAGUAUCGUUAUAAGGUAUCUUAUUCUGAAUACAUAGGGAUAAGAAGCGAACGCGGGGAACUGAAACAUCUAAGUACCCGUAGGAAAGGACAUCAACCGAGACUCCGCUAGUAGUGGCGAGCGAACGCGGACCAGGCCAGUGGCUAUCGUUUAACAAGCAGAACCUUCUG